rnacentral:rRNA from 1 species
GAUGAACGCUGGCGGCGUGCCUAAUACAUGCAAGUCGAGCGAACAGACGAGGAGCUUGCUCCUUUGACGUUAGCGGCGGACGGGUGAGUAACACGUAGGUAACCUACCUAUAAGACUGGGAUAACUUCGGGAAACCGGAGCUAAUACCGGAUAAUAUUUCGAACCGCAUGGUUCGAUAGUGAAAGAUGGCUUUGCUAUCACUUAUAGAUGGACCUGCGCCGUAUUAGCUAGUUGGUAAGGUAACGGCUUACCAAGGCAACGAUACGUAGCCGACCUGAGAGGGGAAACGGCAAAACUGAAACUAAGACACGGACCAACACCCAAGGGGGGGAAGAGGAGGGAAUCCUUCGGAAAGGGGGAAAGGCCGGAGGGAGAAAGGCCGGGGAGGUAAAGAAGUGCUUGGAACGGAAAAACCUUGUUAUAAGGGAAAAAAAACGGGGAAGGAAACGGGGCACGUUUGACGGGAACCGACAAAGAAGCCCCGGCCAAACAAGGG